rnacentral:tRNA from 1 species
GGAUAUACAGCUCAGUGGUAGAGUGCACGCUUAGCAUGCACGAGGUCCUAGGUUCAAUUCCCAGUACCUCCA